GAUGAACGCUGGCGGCGUGCCUAAUACAUGCAAGUCGAGCGAAUGGAUUAAGAGCUUGCUCUUAUGAAGUUAGCGGCGGACGGGUGAGUAACACGUGGGUAACCUGCCCAUAAGACUGGGAUAACUCCGGGAAACCGGGGCUAAUACCGGAUAACAUUUUGAACCGCAUGGUUCGAAAUUGAAAGGCGGCUGCGGCUGUCACUUAUGGAUGGACCCGCGUCGCAUUAGCUAGUUGGUGAGGUAACGGCUAACCAAGGAAACGAUGGCGUAGCCGACCUGGGAGGGUGAUCGGCCACACUGGGACUGAGACACGGCCCAGACUCCUACGGGAGGCAGCAGUAGGGAAUCUUCCGCAAUGGACGAAAGUCUGACGGAGCAACGCCGCGUGAGUGAUGAAGGCUUUCGGGUCGUAAAACUCUGUUGUUAGGGAAGAACAAGUGCUAGUUGAAUAAGCUGGCACCUUGACGGUACCUAACCAGAAAGCCACGGCUAACUACGUGCCAGCCGCCGCAGUAA
rnacentral:rRNA from 1 species